AAUAUAUUUAUGAUAUAAUUCAAUAAUCAAUUUAUAUUUGUGCGUCAUCAUUUGUGUUAAGAUUAUUGUUAAUUUGAUUUAAUCUGAAAGAUUUAAUGUAAUGGUAAAAUUAAUAAUAUGUCUCAUCUGGUCAACCUAAAGCCCUACCAAAAGAGACAUGUUAAGAUACACCGCGGCUAGACCUACUCAAUGGGUGGGUCGGAUUCAACCUAAGAUUUUUUUUUAAUUAUUUAGGCCC
rnacentral:lncRNA from 1 species